UAAUCCCAACACUUUAGGAGGCUGAGGCGGGUGGAUCACUUGAGGUCAGGAGUUUGAGACCAGCCUGGCCAACAUGGUAAAACCUCAUCUCUACUUAAAAAAAAAAAAAUACAAAAAUUAGCCGGGUGUAGGGGCACAUGCCUGUAAUCCCAGCUACUCAGGAGGUUGAGGCAGAGAAUCACUUGAACCCGGGAUGCGGAGGUUGCAGUGAGCCGAGAUCGUGCCACUGCACUCCAAACUGGGUGAAAAAAAAAAAGAAAGGAAGAAGGAAGGAAGGAGGGAAAGAAAAGAAAAAGAAAGAGAGAGAAAGAAAGAAAGAAGGAAGGAAAGAAAGAAAGAAAGGAAGGAAGGAAAGAAAAGAAAAAGAGAGAGAGAGAAAGAAAGAGAAAGAAAGAAAGAAAGAGAAAGAAAGAAAGAGGCCGGGUGCGGUGGCUCACGCCUGUAAUCCCAGCACUUUGGGAGGCCGAGGCGGGCAGAUCAUGAGGUCAGGAGAUCGAGACCAUCCUGGCUAACACGGUGAAACCCCGUCUCUACUAAAAAUACAAAAAAUUAGCUGGGCGUAGUGGCAGGCGCCUGUAGUCCCAGCUACUCGGGAGGCUGAGGCAGGAGAAUGGCGUGAACCCAGGAGGCGGAGCUUGCAGUGAGAUCGCGCCACUGCACUCCAGCCUGGGCGACAGAGCAAGACUCCGUCUCAAAAAAAAAAAAGAAAAAGAAAAAGAAAAAAGAAAAAAAGAAAGAAACAAUUAGCCCUCCAGAUACACCUAGACCCUGGGGAAGACACAGCCAGAUGAGAUGCUUGGACACAUAGCGGGGAGAUACCGACAUACUCAGGGAGAAUCACUCAGCUAGAUACACACAAACACACACAGGAGACAGACAGGAAGAGACACAGCCAGGUGGGCACUGCCACGCUCCUGGGUACACACAGACCCUCGGACUCAGGAAGAGAAACUGACCCCGAGGAUCCCGAUAUUCCUAAACACAUUCAAGGGUAAGUCCAGAUCCUCUGAUGGACUGGCACACACGUGCAGAAAUACACCUGAUACGCCAGACACCAUCAGGAAGAUUCUCCCAGACACUCCGAGGCACCCACACACCCACAGAAAGAGACGGCCGCACCGCCUAACACACCCAGACACACUCGGGAGGAGCCGGACACCCUGACAGACCAGACAUACACAAGACACAAGCCUUCUAAGACACUUGGAGACACCUGGGAAGAUACACCUAAGAGAGGAAAGAGCUCCAACCAGACACUGAGACAUCCAGACGCCCUUGGGGAGAUACAGAGGCAGACACCCUCAGGCACCCACAGAAAAAAAUACAGGCAGAUGGCCGGGCAUGGUGACUCAAGCCUGUAAUCCCAGCACUCUGGGAGGCCAAGGCAGGUGGAUCACCUGAGGUCAGGAGUUCGAGACCAGCCUGGCCAACAUGGUGAAACCCUGUCUCUACUAAAAAUACAAAAAAAUUAGCCGGGCAUGUCAGUGUGCAUCUGUAAUCCCAGCUACUCAGGAGGCUGAGACAGGAGAAUCGCUUGAACCCACUAGGCGGAGGUUGCAGUGAGCUGAGAUUGCGCCACUGUACUCCAGCCUGGGUGACAGAGCCAGACUCCAUCUCAAAAAAAAAAAAAAUACAGGCAGACUGAUCCAUCCCAGUUCCCAGGGGAAGGGACACAGUCAGCAACUCCAUACACCCACACACACCUAACAGAUAUCACUAUGCCCUCCAAUACCACUGGGACCCUUGGUGGGGCAUGGUGGUUCACGCCUAUAAUCCCUGCACUUUGGAGGGCUGAGACAGGAGGAUCCCUUGAGCUCAGGAGUUCAAGACCAGACUGGGCAACAUAGUAACACCCUGCCUCUAUUUAAAAAACAACAGGCCAGGCGCGGUGGCUCACACCUGUAAUCCCAGCACUUUGGGAGGCCGAGGUGGCCAGAUCACCUGAGGUCAGGAGUUCCAGACCAGCCUGACCAACAUGGUGAAACCCCGUUUCUACUAAAAAUACAAAAUCAGCCGGGCAUGGUGGCGCAUGCCUGUAAUCCCAGCUACUCGGAAGGCUGAGGCAGAAUCGCUUGAACCUGCUAGGCGGAAGUUGCGGGUUCAAGGUUCAACUCCCCGCUAGGUGGAGGUUGGGGGAUCACGCCAUUGCACGCCAGCCUGGGUGAAACUCUGUCUCAAAAAUAAAUAAAUAAAUAAAUAAAUAAAUAAAUAACAACAACUGGGCACCUGGGCCCAUGUAGGAGGAGAUGCAGUCGCCACUCAGUGACUCAGAGAAACUGUGGAAUCUCUGGGAAACACCCGGGACGCACAUGGGCAGACAGACACACAGCCAGCCAGGCAGACACUUGCUAGAAGGCGAUAAAGGUGAUGGACGAGUGCUAGGACACACAGCAGGCGCUGGGACACCGAUGGGGGCCCCAGCGGCUGCACCCACCGAUCUUGUACUCGCAGGGCCUGAGUCUGGGGUCCUCCAGGAUGUUGAGUCUCCGUUUCUUCCUCC
rnacentral:lncRNA from 1 species